rnacentral:rRNA from 1 species
AUUGAACGCUGGCGGCAUGCUUUACACAUGCAAGUCGAACGGCAGCGCGGGGCAACCUGGCGGCGAGUGGCGAACGGGUGAGUAAUAUAUCGGAACGUACCCAGAAGUGGGGGAUAACGUAGCGAAAGUUACGCUAAUACCGCAUAUGAUCUACGGAUGAAAGUAGGGGACCGCAAGGCCUUAUGCUUUUGGAGCGGCCGAUAUCUGAUUAGCUAGUUGGUGAGGUAAAGGCUCACCAAGGCGACGAUCAGUAGCUGGUCUGAGAGGACGACCAGCCACACUGGAACUGAGACACGGUCCAGACUCCUACGGGAGGCAGCAGUGGGGAAUUUUGGACAAUGGGCGCAAGCCUGAUCCAGCAAUGCCGCGUGAGUGAAGAAGGCCUUCGGGUUGUAAAGCUCUUUUGUCAGGGAAGAAACGGUAGAGGCUAAUAUCCUUUGCUAAUGACGGUACCUGAAGAAUAAGCACCGGCUAACUACGUG